AAACUGCCCUCAGGGCAAAGAAGCCUGCAGAAUAAUUGGGAGGAGUCUGGCAGGAAGGAAGCCAAGAGCUGCCUCCUGCCCCUGAGGGGAGGAGUCCAUCCUCUUCUAUAGGAUACACCUGUUGGCUUCUUUGUCCAUCCUUCCCCUUUCUGGGAAUUGUUCUCCAUCAACAUGUUUAUGGGGACAGCCAUUUCUAUACAAUGUGACCUGUAUUGAUCUAUUUUGUGUUGCUAUAAAUAAAUACCUGAGGCUGGUAAUUUUUAAAGAAGAGAGGUUAAUUUGGCCCAUAAUUCUGCAGGCUGUACAAGAAGCAUGGCACCAGCAUCUGCUUCUGGUGAGGCUGCAGGAAGCUUCCACUCAUGGUGGAAGGUGGAGGAGGAGCAGGCGUGUUAUAUGGCAAGAGCGAGAGCAAGAGAGAGAGCAGAAGGUGUCAGGCAACCAGCUCUCAUGUGAACUAAUGAGCAAGGACUCACUCAUCACCAAGGGGAUGGCCCCAGCCAUUCCUGAGAGAUCCGCCCCCUAACCCAAACACCUCCCACCAAGCCCCACCUCCAAGACUGGCGGUCAAAUUUUAACAUGAGACCUUCAUUAUCA
rnacentral:lncRNA from 1 species